GGUCCAAAUUUGAAGUGAAGUAGAUUGGCACGAUCAGUUGAUCCUACUAAACUAUUCUACUUUGAGUUAGGGCCC
rnacentral:pre_miRNA from 1 species